GACGAACGCUGGCGGCGUGCUUAGCACAUGCAAGUCGAGCGGUAAGGCCCUUUCGGGGGUACACGAGCGGCGAACGGGUGAGUAACACGUGGGUGACCUGCCCUCAGCUCUGGGAUAAGCCUGGGAAACCGGGUCUAAUACUGGAUAUGACUCCAUGACGCAUGUUGUGGGGUGAAAGCCUUGUGCGGCUGAGGAUCGGGGCCCGCGGCCUAUCAGUCUUGUUGGGUGGGGNGAUGGCCUACCAAGGCGACGACGGGCAGCCGGCCUGAGAGGGCGACCGGCCACACUGGGACUGAGACACGGCCCAGACUCCUACGGGAGGCAG
rnacentral:rRNA from 1 species